UACGUAGGGUGCAAGCGUUAAUCGGAAUUACUGGGCGUAAAGCGUGCGCAGGCGGCUAUGCAAGACAGAUGUGAAAUCCCCAGGCUCAACCUGGGAACUGCAUUUGUGACUGCAUGGCUAGAGUACGGUAGAGGGGGAUGGAAUUCCGCGUGUAGCAGUGAAAUGCGUAGAUAUGCGGAGGAACACCGAUGGCGAAGGCAAUCCCCUGGACCUGUACUGACGCUCAUGCACGAAAGCGUGGGGGAGCAAACAGG
rnacentral:rRNA from 1 species